UGGGGAAUAUUGCACAAUGGAGGGAACUCUGAUGCAGCGACGCCGCGUGAACGAAGAAGGCUUUCGAGUCGUAAAGUUCUUUUAUAUGGGAAGAUAAUGACGGUACCAUAAGAAGAAGCCCCGGCUAUCUACGUGCCAGCAGCCGCGGUAAUACGUAGGGGGCUAGCGUUGUCCGGAAUCACUGGGCGUAAAGGGUUCGCAGGCGGAAAUGCAAGUCAGGUGUAAAAGGCAGUAGCUUAACUACUGUAAGCAUUUGAAACUGCAUAUCUUGAGAAGAGUAGAGGUAAGUGGAAUUUUUAGUGUAGCGGUGAAAUGCGUAGAUAUUAAAAAGAAUACCGGUGGCGAAGGCGACUUACUGGGCUCAUUCUGACGCUGAGGAACGAAAGCGUGGGUAGCAAACAGG
rnacentral:rRNA from 1 species